rnacentral:tRNA from 1 species
AUAGCUCAGUGGUAGAGCACGUGCUUAGCAUGCAUGAGGCCCGGGGUUCAAUCCUCAGU